GUGACCAACGGUGGACAUCAAUCCGUGCCAAGAUACUUGCAAAUUUGAUAAUUGAACAAGUGGUGAGAGGGAGGAAAGAAUUGGAAUGGAAGCUUAUAUGUGAUGAGUUCUGCAGGAAAACAAGAAUGACAUGGGAUGUAGAACAACUGAAGAACCAAUAUGCUGUUAUGAGAAAUCAGUACCUAAUUGUGCAGUCGAUGUUUCAUCGGGACGACUUCUCGUGGCGUGCAAAAAACUGGGAUUAUUGUGGCCACAGAUGAUAGGUGGGCCAAAAUUGCUAGGGUAACGAUGAAUUGUCCAACAUAUGAAGAGUUAUGUAUAAUGUUCUCCAAUUCUGAUGAUGGUCAAGAAACUACGAGUCAACCUACCAAACCCAAUUCAUCAAAUAGUCACAAAAGAGGGAGGAAGUUAGACGAAGAUGCAACAUAUAAAAUAGCAGAUUGUAUUAAAGGAUUGGAUGAAAUUGAUGAAAUGCAUGGGCUUGAAGAAGAUGUUUAUUUUGGAGCUUUGGUACUGUUCAAUGAACCAAAUGCGAGAGAGACCUUCCUUCGUCUCAAGGCAGACAAACGCUAUAAUUGGCUGCAGAGGAGCUGUUGAUAUACACCCUCACCGUUUCAAGGGAUUUCACAUUUAUGC